rnacentral:rRNA from 1 species
AGUGCGAGGGCAUAGAGCCCUCGCUUUUGUACACCGUAAGGUGGUGUACGAAUAAGAGCUGGGCAAGACCGGUGCCAGCCGCCGCGGUAAUACCGGCAGCUCGAGUGAUGGCCGAUCUUAUUGGGCCUAAAGCGUCCGUAGCUGGCCUGGCAAGUCCGUCGGGAAAUCCACCCGCUCAACGGGUGGGCGUCCGGCGGAAACUGCGAGGCUUGGGACCGGGAGGCUUGAAGGGUACGUCCGGGGUAGGAGUGAAAUCCCGUAAUCCUGGACGGACCACCGAUGGGGAAACCACUUCAAGAGAACGGAUCCGACAGUGAGGGACGAAAGCUAGGGUCUCGAACCGGAUUAGAUACCCGGGUAGUCCUAGCUGUAAACGAUGCCUGUUAGGUGUGACUCCCACUACGAGUGGGUGUUGUGCCGUAGGGAAGCCGCUAAACAGGCCGCCUGGGAAGUACGUCUGCAAGGAUGAAACUUAAAGGAAUUGGCGGGGGAGCACUACAACCGGAGGAGCCUGCGGUUUAAUUGGACUCAACGCCGGACAUCUCACCAGCAUCGACUGUGGUAAUGACGGUCAGGUUGAUGACCUUGCCCGAGCGACAGAGAGGAGGUGCAUGGCCGCCGUCAGCUCGUACCGUGAGGCGUCCUGUUAAGUCAGGCAACGAGCGAGACCCGCAUCCCUACUUGCCAGCAGCACCGCGAAGUGGCUGGGGACAGUAGGGAGACCGCCGUGGCUAACACGGAGGAAGGAACGGGCAACGGUAGGUCAGUAUGCCCCGAAUAUGCUGGGCAACACGCGGGCUACAAUGGCCGAGACAAUGGGUUCCANUGCCG